UUCAAGAUCCUUACUUGUUUCUAACAAAAUUGCCUUACGUUCCUCAAAAACUAAAUCACGUAGAUCUUCCUGAACUAAAUCCAUCUUGUGUAUUAAACAAAAUACACGAGCUUGGGGACUAUUGGCCACUGUUGCUUCUAGACAAUUACGAAAAGUUACUAAAUCUCUUUCAAAUUCUCUUGACUCAACAUCGAAAACAUAGAUAAGUACUUGAACGUUUCUGAAUAUGUGAUCACGCUGGGCAGAUAAAUAGUUUUCCAUGAACGCCUCCUGUCCACCGCAAUCCCAUAGGUUCAAAACUAAAUUUCCCAAGAACCUUACAUGCGAAUGUUCAAUAUCAAUUGUAGCACCUAGCCUUCUCGUGUCCUUGGCAACAUAAUUGCUAAAAACUAUGCUUCUCAUUGAACUUUUGCCGCUGCCACUGCGGCCCAUUAACAGGACUUUUUUUCU